AACGCACCUUGCGCCCUCUGGUAUUCCGGAGGGCAUGCCUGUUUGAGUGUCUUGAUAUCAUCAAACCCCUCGGGUUCGCGCCCGUUGCGGUUUGGAGUUGGGGGCUUGCUGCCGCAAGGCGGCUCCCCUUAAAAUCAUCGGUUUGGCCCGCACCGUGCGGCUUGCACCUUUGGCGUUGUAUUUUCCUCGCCUUCAAUUGGUCUCGCUCGCUUCCGCGCCUCACCUCGACUUGCCCUUUGGGUGGCGGUCACUUCUUGACAAUCUGGCCUCAAAUCAGGUAGGACUACCCGCUGAACUUAA
rnacentral:misc_RNA from 2 species